UGCUCUUAGUGGCGAACGGGUGAGUAACGCGUUGGUGACCUGCCCCGAAGAACGGGAUGACAGCUCGAAAGGGCUGCUAAUACCGUAUGAGAUCUAGGAAGUUAGAGUACCUAGAUGAAAGGAGAAAUCCGCUUCGGGAGGGGCCUGCGUCCCAUCAGCUAGUUGGUAGGGUAAAGGCCUACCAAGGCAAAGACGGGUAGGGGACCUGAGAGGGUGACCCCCCACAAUGGAACUGAAACACGGUCCAU
rnacentral:rRNA from 1 species